rnacentral:rRNA from 1 species
GUGUCAGCAGCCGCGGUAAUACGAAGGGUGCAAGCGUUGUUCGGAAUUAUUGGGCGUAAAGGGUUCGUAGGCGGGAUUGUAAGUCAAGUGUGAAAUCUCCGAGCUUAACUCGGAACGUGCAUUUGAAACUGUAAUUCUUGAGUCAUAGAGAGGGUGGUGGAAUUGUUGGUGUAGGAGUGACAUCCGUAGAGAUCAACAGGAACAUCAGAGGCGAAAGCGGCCACCUGGCUAUGUACUGACGCUGAGGAACGAAAGCGUGGGGAGCAAACAGGAUUAGAAACCCUCGUAGUCC